GUGAAAUUAUUCUCUGCAUUUCACCGAUAAGCCAGCACAACCUGCUAUCCUGCGCCAGAACGUAGCUACAUGUCCUGUACUCAGACCUCCGUUCCCGCGUCACGAGCUGCGUGUCUCAUUUCCCCGUAUUUCCCCUGCUUCCCUGGCUGCCUCUUGGAUCUCAACCUCCCGCCUGGACACGGACUUUGACGCCUCGCUAUUGCCCCCGACUUCCUGCCUGUCUCACGGACCUCCGAGCUUGUCUGGCCCCCUUUGGACUUCCGCAGCGGGAACAGAUGACAGCUUAGAUGAAGCCGUUGAUGCUCAAACCGGUUCCCUUCACCUGGUCCUUUUGCUAGUGAUGUUCACAUUUUGCCACAGACGGGCUCGGUCUACUGGCCAGUGUAUGCGAUUAAAGGUUAAUAUUCUCAACGGCGUCCACUAAAAGUUGGAGUUGAAGUUCCAUGAAGGUCUUCACUGACUCCUCCCUGUCUUCUUCUGCCUUUUGCCCUUCUGGGAGUCCCUCAUGUGUCUCGUCUCCUUCAUGUACUGGUUUUCCCUGGUGAGAUGGGUAACGCUGUCGCUGAGCACUUUCACAGAAUCCCGGAGAGCAGCGUUCUCCUGGGCGAGAGAGACGACCUGUUGUUGUCCAAAAUAGACACUCUCAGAGGGUUUGGAACUCCCUGUGGAGCACCUUGACAAGCGCGAGGCGGCCAUCUAAUCACUUCGGGGUCUUUUCCAUGGAGUCCAAGAUGGCGCUGACGCCUAUUCCUGGUGGCGACACUUGUCCAGGUGAGUCUUCCAGGCGGCUCCGUUUGGGGGUCGGACUUUCCCACGACUCGACGUAGUGUUUGUGUGCCUUCAGAUUUUGAUAUUUUAAUUUGUGGUUUGCUUAAAAUUUGCCUUAAUUUGGCAGAUGUCUGAUUGAAUUGGAAUUAGAAUUGUUUGACAGCCGUUUGAUCUGCUUGACUGUAACUCCGCAUCACAUACAUGUUCUCAUAAGACUACA